CACGGGGGGAGCAAGCGUUGUUCGGAAUCACUGGGCGUAAAGAGCGUGUAGGCGGCUAGAUAGGUCCGUUGUGAAAACUCGAGGCUCAACCUCGAGACGUCGAUGGAAACCAUCUGGCUAGAGUCCGGAAGAGGAGAGUGGAAUUCCUGGUGUAGCGGUGAAAUGCGCAGAUAUCAGGAAGAACACCCGUGGCGAAGGCGGCUCUCUGGGACGUGACUGACGCUGAGACGCGAAAGCGUGGGGAGCGAACAGG
rnacentral:rRNA from 1 species